CACGUAGGGUGCGAGCGUUGUCCGGAAUUAUUGGGCGUAAAGGGCUCGUAGGCGGUUUGUCGCGUCGGGAGUGAAAACUCAGGGCUCAACCCUGUUCGUGCUUCCGAUACGGGCAAACUAGAGGUAGGCAGGGGAGAACGGAAUUCCUGGUGUAGCGGUGGAAUGCGCAGAUAUCAGGAGGAACACCGGUGGCGAAGGCGGUUCUCUGGGCCUAUUCUGACGCUGAGGAGCGAAAGCAUGGGGAGCGAACAGG
rnacentral:rRNA from 1 species